rfam:Schistosoma rodhaini strain Burundi genome assembly, scaffold: SROB_scaffold0016525
AUCCAGCUGACGAAUCUCUAAUAGAAUGAAACGCACGUCCUGGAU